UACGUAGGUGGCAAGCGUUGUCCGGAAUUAUUGGGCGUAAAGGGAGCGCAGGUGGGAAUAUCAGUCUGUCUUAAAAGUUCGGGGCUCAACCCCGUGAUGGGAUGGAAACUAUAUUUCUUGAGUGCAGGAGAGGAAAGUGGAAUUCCUAGUGUAGCGGUGAAAUGCGUAGAUAUUAGGAGGAACACCAGUGGCGAAGGCGACUUUCUGGACUGUAACUGACACUGAGGCUCGAAAGCCAGGGUAGUGAACGGGAUUAGAUACCCCGGUAAUCCUGGCCGUAAACGAUGGGUACUAGGUGUAGGAGGUAUCGACCCCUUCUGUGCCGGAGUUAACGCAAUAAGUACCCCGCCUGGGGAGUACGGCCGCAAGGUUGAA
rnacentral:rRNA from 1 species